CAGUGCCAGGGUAUUUUUAGCCCUCUAGCAGCAACUGGAGCAAAGCACUCAGCAGGCCUGCCUUGCUCUGGACUCUGAGACAUACUCGGUGGCUUUCACAGGGGGGAAUAUGAGCUCUUCAGGUCUGUUCUAGCUCUCUGCCUCACUCCUGGGCUCUUUCAAGGGUCUUAGAGGGAUGUCUGGUCCUCAUCAGCUGGUUGCCACUGGGCACGCUUGCCCAGGGUGUGUAUGGGAAAGGCGAUAGAAUGAAAGUCAGUCUUUUACCAAGACAUGAAGGGCACAGAGCCAGAGGCUCCCUGGAUGACUGACUGCUGGCUACUCUCUGGAGGAAGAUAACGAGGUGUGCGAGGAGCAUAUCCUUUCUAAGAGCAAAACAGAGAGCUUCAGGUUAGGUGUGUGGUGUGGAGGACCAGUGGACCCAGGCAGAAGGAGGGAAAGGGUGGACGGGGUAACAGGGAACCACUUCCUGGGGACCCAGGGACAGACAGACAUUCAGAGCCAGCUUGCUGCUUCUCACCAUCCCGACGCGGCGCUUGUUUAAUGUUUGCAGUUAAUAGGUCAGUCCUGAAUAUCGAUCUGACAAAUAUUUGCUAGAUCACUGACCUAGGGGACUUCCCGUGCCAACUCCUCCCCAGCGGCAACCUGUGAACUGGUCCCUUGAUCCCCUAGGGGUCAGGUCCAGUCCGGAAGAGACCCUUUCCUGCAGGUGGCUGUACUGUUCCACCUGUGGGUGUGGACUGAGGUCUGGGGCAACCACCUGCGCGAGAUCCUUUGUUUGAAGUGGCUCCUCGGUGCAGGUGGUCAGAAGCAGUCAAGACUUGUCGCAGCUGCCCACACUGGGACACACACCACAAGGUCUAGGCUGCCUGGGUCCUGUUCCUACCUCGGCCACACUGUCUACCCAACGCUGGGAAGGAGAGGCCUUGCUUUUUGGAGACAACAGGUGGAGACCCAGGGAGGCUUGAGUCAGAGCCUGGGAAAAUUCCUGCUUUUCCCAACACACACAUUGACAUUCGCAUUCACAUCUGGGCAGGAGCACACACCCGAGCACGCACACACACACACACACACACACACCAUCACCAUCAUUGUCAUCACCCCACUGUUGUGCCAUAUCCCCCAGGCAGCCACCACCCUGGAUCCCACUCUGGUUCAGCUGUCAUCUCCUAAUGAAUUCCUGCAGCUUCGAUUCUAGCUUUGCUUCGUUUUUCUGGGUUGGAAAUCAGGAAAGAUCAGGCAGCAUGGUCAAGCUCACACCGUGAAUGGAGAUGUGGAGGUCAAAUCCAGAUGUGUGCUCUUUCCGAGGGGAAGAGAAGCCCUGGGGAACAUUUGUACUUGUUCUCUGAGAUUUGGAGCAAGUACUGAAAAAUUAAAUGACUUUAUUUUGUGUAGGGUUCUCCAUCACUCAAAGUCAGGCUGUCAGUGAAAUAAACCUCCGAGGUCUGAGUACCUCUGCAGGUCUAGCUGCCCAUUCACCUGGUCUUUUCCCAUGUGCGAGCUGCCUUCUCACCUCUCCUGUGGUGGUGUUUACUUUUCCUCCAACGUCUAGCUCAAAAGCCUAUCUUCUUGUGAUGCACGCCUUCAUUUUCACCCUGUGGAGACCCUGAGAUCCUUUCCUGACACUCUCCAGCCUCAGUUCAUGCCGAUUCACUCUGGGCAUUGCCAUCACCAUGUCUGACUGGGUUGAGCUGUCGAAACUCCCUGGUGGCAAAGGGGCACUCUAGACCAGGGGAAGCAGCCCACGAAACAGCCUUGUGGCUGCUCUGGGGGGCCCUGUGGUUUCCCUCCAGCCAGCUGUGUGACCUUGAGUAAAUGACCCAACCCUUCUGAGACUCCACAUCACACGGGACUAGAUGGCCCAAGGAAGCGGCAGUUUCGAGCAAUCUCUUCCAGCUCUCCUGUCACCUUUUAACUAGGCUCUUGGAUGAAAUCACUAUUGAACUGAUCGUCCUUGGCUUUGUUUUUCUGAU